rnacentral:rRNA from 1 species
CACGUAGGGCGCAAGCGUUGUCCGGAAUUAUUGGGCGUAAAGAGCUCGUAGGCGGUCUGUUACGUCUGCUGUGAAAACCCGGGGCUUAACCCUGGGCUUGCAGUGGAUACGGGCAGACUAGAGGCAGGUAGGGGAGAAUGGAAUUCCCGGUGUAGCGGUGAAAUGCGCAGAUAUCGGGAGGAACACCGGUGGCGAAGGCGGCUUCCUGGACCGACACUGACGCUGAGGUGCGAAAGCGUGGGGAGCAAACAGG